rnacentral:misc_RNA from 1 species
GAUGAAGAACGCAGCGAAAUGCGAUAAGUAAUGUGAAUUGCAGAAUUCAGUGAAUCAUCGAAUCUUUGAACGCACAUUGCGCCCGCUAGUAUUCUGGCGGGCAUGCCUGUCCGAGCGUCAUUUCAACCCUCAAGCCCCCGGGCUUGGUGUUGGGGAUCGGCGAGCCUCCGCGCCCGCCGUCCCCUAAAUCUAGUGGCGGUCUCGCUGUAGCUUCCUCUGCGUAGUAGCACACCUCGCACUGGGAAACAGCGCGGCCACGCCGUUAAACCCCCAACUUCUGAACGUUUGACCUCGGAUCAGGUAGGAAUACCCGCUGAACUUAAGCAUACAAUAAGCGGAGGA